CCUACGGGAGGCAGCAGUGAGGAAUAUUGGUCAAUGGGCGAGAGCCUGAACCAGCCAAGUCGCGUGAGGGAGUACUGCCCUAUGGGUUGUAAACCUCUUUUGUCGGGGAGCAAAAGCCGUACGUGUCCGGCUGUGAGAUUACCCGACGAAAAAGCAUCGGCUAACUCCGUGCCAGCAGCCGCGGUAAUACGGAGGAUGCGAGCGUUAUCCGGUUUUAGUGGGGUUAAAGGGUUCGUAGGCGGUUUUUUAAGUCGGCGGUAAAAUCGUGGGGCUCAACCCCAUCCAGCCGUUGAAACUGGGGAUCUAGAGUGUGAGAGAGGGAUGCGGAAUGCGAGGGGUAGCGGUGAAAUGCAUAGAUAUCACGAAGAACCCCGGUUGCGAAGGGAGCAUACCGGUGCACAACUGACGGUCAGGCACGAAAGCGUGGGGAUCGAACAGGAUUAGAUACCCGGGUAGUC
rnacentral:rRNA from 1 species